rfam:Triticum urartu cultivar G1812 contig77510, whole genome shotgun sequence.
UAAGUACUCUCUCCGUUCCGAAUUACUUGUCGCAUAUAUGGGUGUAUCUAGAUGUAUUUUAAUUCUAGAUAUAUCCAUUUCUGCGACGAGUAAUUUGGAACGGAGGGAAUAGUGG